UUUGUCAGUUUAAGAACUGGCUAACAAUGAAAUACAUCAUGUCGUAUUAAGAUGAAUCACAACUACUUCAAGUUCCACCUGAAAAGUAUUUCUUCAUUGAGCAAAAUCAUUAGGAAGAGUUUGUAAGGUCAAGGUUAUCCGAGACCUCUCAGGUAUGAAUAACUUUUAUACAUCAAAAUCAUUCGAAAGAAUAUCUGCUACUUUCUCAUCAACAAAUACAUUUAGAUAUAGGAAAAAAGACAGUUGCAACAAGAUAGACGAUCGAAGAACAAAUACAAUCAUAGAAUCUCAAGGAAAGAGUAUGCUAAUUUUACGGAGGAAAUGGUACCAUAACCCAUUUCUUAGUCCGGAGUAUAGCGGAUGAUCUCUAGUGGUGGUUUCGGGUGUGUGGUCGUGAGAAGAUUUGGAGCAUCAGGGAGCUUUAAAGAAGGAGGGUUCAAAUGAUGUUGAUCUUGAUCAAGCUAAAAUGUGGAAGAAAGCUCGAGUUAACAAACAAGGACAGUACGACAACGAUGACGUUCAACAAGUCGUCCAUAAAAUAGGUGAGAUAUCAAUGAAUACAAAUUCAUCAUCUGUCAAUAGAUACUACUCGAAUGAUGUGCUAACCCAAGCAUUGGGUACAAAGGAGCACAAUGGUCAUGUACGUGGGGUUGUUGGAUACAUUACUCUGAUAACGUACUUUCAUUCAGUUAAGAAAACAUCAAAAGAUGAGGCGAACAUUCUAGUUAAGAAUGAAGAACUUCGAAGGCGAGUUAGCGAAUUAGAGGCACAAAUUCGCUCAAACUUGUCUACACCAUUGUAUGCACACAGGAGUUGUUCAAGUUCAUUAAUGUUAGAGGGGAUUGAAAAGAAGAGUAAGAGAGUAAAAGUGGAAUCGAUGAAUAAACCAAAAGAGAAUGAAAAGAAAGGGAAGGAGGUGGUGUAAAUGAGUGAACCAGAGUUUGACGUCCUCAAGCUACGUAAUCCACUAUUAAAUUGGAAUGUCUAAUAUGUACGUCUUACUGAAUGUGGAUGUUCUUGAAUUAGGAGAGAGGCUUAAUAAAAAUACCUACGGAAAGAGAAGUUGUAUGUGAGUCGACAUCAACUUUGCCAUUAGCGUUGAAGUCGAUUCUCAGAUACGCUGAGAAAGUAAUGGAGAAAGAUUCUAGCAUCAUUUUUCCACUACUCGCUGACAUUUUUGGUAUUAAUCGAAAGAGUUUUGUGCUUCGAGAGGAUGUCAUUGAUCUUUGUAACAUGAACGAAGUAAAAACGUUUACAUUAGUGGUCUAUAUGAUGUAAGUCCAUUUCAUUUC